AACGAACGCUGGCGGCAGGCUUAACACAUGCAAGUCGAGCGCCCCGCCAGGGGCGCGGCCGACGGGUGCGUAACGCGUGGGAACGUACCUUUUGGUUCGGAACAACUCCGGGAAACUGGAGCUAAUACCGGAUAAGCCCUAACGGGGAAAGAUUUAUCGCCGAAAGAUCGGCCCGCGUCUGAUUAGCUAGUUGGUGAGGUAACGGCUCACCAAGGCGACGAUCAGUAGCUGGUCUGAGAGGAUGAUCAGCCACACUGGGACUGAGACACGGCCCAGACUCCUACGGGAGGCAGCAGUGGGGAAUAUUGGACAAUGGGCGCAAGCCUGAUCCAGCCAUGCCGCGUGAGUGAUGAAGGCCUUAGGGUUGUAAAGCUCUUUUGUCCGGGAAGAUAAUGACUGUACCGGAAGAAUAAGCCCCGGCUAACUUCGUG
rnacentral:rRNA from 1 species